UAUGGUAGAGUCAAAGCAUGAUUAUGUGUUAAGUGAUAUUUGAUGAGUUUAAAGGGAUAUAUAAGUGGGUAUUGAUAUACGUGAGAUGUAUAUGCGAUCGAUUGUUUAGUGAUUAUAGUGUUAUCUUAUUCUCGUAAAGGAUUUGGACGAGACGUGUAUGCCCGAAGACGUUCAGAAAGUCACGUGGUGUUACAAAGCGAAUAAGGGAUGAAUCGAGUAAGCGAAGCGAAGAUGUACGGUAGAUAGAGUAUAGCCAGAGAUGGUCUAGAGACUAUGAGAUGCAUAGAUUGUGAAAGUGGAAAGAUGAGAUUGAGAUGUGAGACUGGAGUCAGAUUUAAGGCAAGUAUCCUGCACCCUGCUUUUGGAUAUAUUGCAUAUUUUGAUCCAUUCUUUUUAUAUGUGUUGCAAGUAUCCUAAACCCUUCUCUUGGAUAUAUUGCAAAUAUUCUGAUCCAUUCCUUUGGUAUCUGUUGCAAGAAUUCGUACCUUUCCUUUCUACAUUUAAAAUUGCAUAUGUUCGGAUCUAUUCUUUCUAUUCUUCAAGUUUCUAAAGAAUUCCCGUUUUACAAAUUAAUUCGAAGUUCAGAUUGUCAUUGAAGCAUGUGUUGCUCAGUGAUAGUUAGGGCUUUGAAUGAAUUGGGAUCUUCUUGAUUAUUCAACCCGCCAUUGUCAUGCUGGUUUAGCAGGCUAAAUUCAGUUGCUUAGCCGAUAAUGGAGGAUACUGAAUAGUUGAGGAUUUCCUGAACUGUGAUUUAUGAAAUGAUGGA
rnacentral:lncRNA from 1 species